AUACGGAGGGUCCAAGCGUUGUUCGGAAUCAUUGGGCGUAAAGCGGGCGUAGGCGGCUUGGCAAGUCAGAUGUGAAAUCCCAGGGCCCAACCCUGGAACUGCAUCUGAAACUGCAUGUCUGGAGUGUCGGAGAGGGAAGCGGAAUUCCUGGUGUAGAGGUGAAAUUCGUAGAUAUCAGGAGGAACACCGGUGGCGAAGGCGGCUUCCUGGACGACUACUGACGCUGAGACGCGAAAGCGUGGGGAGCAAACAGGAUUAGAAACCCCGGUAGUCC
rnacentral:rRNA from 1 species